rnacentral:lncRNA from 10 species
CUCAGCUAAUUUUUUAUUUUUUGUAGGAUAGGGUCUCCCCAUGUUGCCCACGCUGGUCUCGAAUUCCUGGGCUCAAGUGAUCCUCCUGCGCUGGCUUCCCAAAAUGUUGGGAUUGUAGGUGUGAGCCAUCAGCAGGUAUAUGUCCAAGGAGGCAGCAGGGGGAUGGAAAAGGGAGGUAGCGCACAGGUAGUGAAUAUUCUGGGUCUUGGGUCUGGGUGAUGGGCUCAUGGUACUUCAUUAUAUUGUCUACAAAAUAUACAUAAGUAAGGCCAUUCGUGGACCAAUGAUACUAAUGUGUCAUGAACAAAGAUUGGUUGAUCUAAGUCAAUGUAUCUGAGGUUGUUGGAAGGGAGGGAGAGAGACAGACUCUGAAACCAUCCUAGUACAGGGAUCAGCAAACUAUGGCACAAAGGGCAGAUGCCGCUCACCACCUAUUUUUGUAGAGUCUCAUUGGAACCUGGCCACGCCCUUUCAUUUACAUCUCAUCUGUGGCUGCUUCUGAGCAGCUGCAGUAGAGCUGGGUAAUUACCACGGGGGCUGCACAGCUGGCAAAGGCUAAAAUAUUUACUCUCUGGCUCUUUGCAGAAAAAGUAUGUUGAUCCCUGUGCCUGUCCCUAAGACUGCAAUUGGCAGAAGAGAAGCUACCCAGUGUGAGGUCUCCAUGGCUCUGGUGGAUGCCAGGUCAGUGGCAAAGCUAGCGGGGAGGAAACUGAUCAAACACCCAGGUGCCGACACCCUUGCCAGCCCCAGAGGGAAUCACCCAGCGGGGCGAGGGUGGCUUGUCUUCUCUUUUCCGUCUACUCUCUUUUCUCUUAAAGUUAUAAGAAUGUAUUAAGCGACGUGCUAUUUAAACAAUGUU